UGGGGAAUAUUGGACAAUGGGCGAAAGCCUGAUCCAGCAAUGCCGUGUGUGUGAAGAAGGCCUUAGGGUUGUAAAGCACUUUUAGUGGGGAAGAAAAGCUUUAGGUUAAUAACCUUGAGCCUUGACGUUACCCACAGAAAAAGCACUGGCUAACUCUGUGCCAGCAGCCGCGGUAAUACAGAGAGUGCAAGCGUUAAUCGGAAUUACUGGGCGUAAAGCGCACGUAGGUGGAUGUUUAAGUCGGUUGUGAAAUCCCUGAGCUUAACUUAGGAAUUGCAUUCGAUACUGGGCGUCUAGAAUAUAGUAGAGGGAAGUGGAAUUUCCGGUGUAGCGGUGAAAUGCGUAGAUAUCGGAAGGAACAUCAGUGGCGAAAGCGGCUUCCUGGACUAAUAUUGACACUUAGGUGCGAAAGCGUGGGGAGCAAACAGG
rnacentral:rRNA from 1 species